ACUUAAAUUGAAGAGUUUGAUCAUGGCUCAGAUUGAACGCUGGCGGCAGGCCUAACACAUGCAAGUCGAGCGGCAGCGGAAAGUAGCUUGCUACUUUGCCGGCGAGCGGCGGACGGGUGAGUAAUGUCUGGGAAACUGCCUGAUGGAGGGGGAUAACUACUGGAAACGGUAGCUAAUACCGCAUAACGUCGCAAGACCAAAGAGGGGGACCUUCGGGCCUCUUGCCAUCAGAUGUGCCCAGAUGGGAUUAGCUAGUAGGUGGGGUAACGGCUCACCUAGGCGACGAUCCCUAGCUGGUCUGAGAGGAUGACCAGCCACACUGGAACUGAGACACGGUCCAGACUCCUACGGGAGGCAGCAGUGGGGAAUAUUGCACAAUGGGCGCAAGCCUGAUGCAGCCAUGCCGCGUGUAUGAAGAAGGCCUUCGGGUUGUAAAGUACUUUCAGCGGGGAGGAAGGCGUUGAGGUUAAUAACCUCAGCGAUUGACGUUACCCGCAGAAGAAGCACCGGCUAACUCCGUGCCAGCAGCCGCGGUAAUACGGAGGGUGCAAGCGUUAAUCGGAAUUACUGGGCGUAAAGCGCACGCAGGCGGUCUGUCAAGUCGGAUGUGAAAUCCCCGGGCUCAACCUGGGAACUGCAUUCGAAACUGGCAGGCUAGAGUCUUGUAGAGGGGGGUAGAAUUCCAGGUGUAGCGGUGAAAUGCGUAGAGAUCUGGAGGAAUACCGGUGGCGAAGGCGGCCCCCUGGACAAAGACUGACGCUCAGGUGCGAAAGCGUGGGGAGCAAACAGGAUUAGAUACCCUGGUAGUCCACGCCGUAAACGAUGUCGACUUGGAGGUUGUGCCCUUGAGGCGUGGCUUCCGGAGCUAACGCGUUAAGUCGACCGCCUGGGGAGUACGGCCGCAAGGUUAAAACUCAAAUGAAUUGACGGGGGCCCGCACAAGCGGUGGAGCAUGUGGUUUAAUUCGAUGCAACGCGAAGAACCUUACCUACUCUUGACAUCCAGAGAACUUUCCAGAGAUGGAUUGGUGCCUUCGGGAACUCUGAGACAGGUGCUGCAUGGCUGUCGUCAGCUCGUGUUGUGAAAUGUUGGGUUAAGUCCCGCAACGAGCGCAACCCUUAUCCUUUGUUGCCAGCGGU
rnacentral:rRNA from 1 species